rnacentral:rRNA from 1 species
GGACGAACGCUGGCGGCGUGCUUAACACAUGCAAGUCGAACGGAAAGGCCCUGCUUUUGUGGGGUGCUCGAGUGGCGAACGGGUGAGUAACACGUGAGUAACCUGCCCUUGACUUUGGGAUAACUUCAGGAAACUGGGGCUAAUACCGGAUAGGAGCUCCUGCUGCAUGGUGGGGGUUGGAAAGUUUCGGCGGUUGGGGAUGGACUCGCGGCUUAUCAGCUUGCUGGUGGGGUAGUGGCUUACCAAGGCUUUGACGGGUAGCCGGCCUGAGAGGGUGACCGGCCACAUUGGGACUGAGAUACGGCCCAGACUCCUACGGGAGGCAGCAGUGGGGAAUAUUGCACAAUGGGCGGAAGCCUGAUGCAGCAACGCCGCGUGCGGGAUGACGGCCUUCGGGUUGUAAACCGCUUUCGCCUGUGACGAAGCGUGAGUGACGGUAAUGGGUAAAGAAGCACCGGCUAACUACGU